UGUAUCUAUGUCGCGCUGUGCU
rnacentral:miRNA from 1 species